rnacentral:rRNA from 1 species
AGAGUUUGAUCCUGGCUCAGAAUGAACGCUGGCGGCAUGGAUUAGGCAUGCAAGUCGAACGUACUCCCUUCGGGGAGAAAGUGGCGAAAGGGUGAGUAACACGUGAGCAACCUGCCUCCGGAUCCGGAAUAAUCCAGGGAAACUUGGUCUAAAACCGAAUGAAGACAUUGGUCCGCAUGGUCUAAUGUUAAAAUAUUUAUAGUCCGGAGAGGGGCUCGCGGCCCAUUAGCUUGUUGGCGGGGUAAUGGCCCACCAAGGCUACGACGGGUAGGUGGUCUGAGAGGAUGGUCACCCACACUGGGACUGAGACACUGCCCAGACUCCUACGGGAGGCUGCAGUCGAGAAUCUUCCGCAAUGGGCGCCAAGCCUGACGGAGCGAUGCCGCGUGAGGGAUGAAGGCCUUCGGGUUGUAAACCUCUGUCAUCCGGGACGAAAACAAUGACGGUACCGGAAAAGGAAGCCACGGCUAACCACGUGCCAGCCGCCGC